rnacentral:piRNA from 1 species
UAACCAAAGAACUUUUGGCGUUCUCAAAUAC